AUUGAACGCUGGCGGCAGGCCUAACACAUGCAAGUCGAACGGUAGCACAGAGAGCUUGCUCUCGGGUGACGAGUGGCGGACGGGUGAGUAACGUCUGGAAACUGCCCGAUGGAGGGGGAUAACUACUGGAAACGGUAGCUAAUACCGCAUAACGUCGCAAGACCAAAGUGGGGGACCUGCGGCCCUCACACCAUCGGAUGUGCCCAGAUGGGAUUAGCUAGUAGGUGGGGUAAUGGCUCACCCAGUCGACGAUCCCUAGCUGGUCUGAGAGGAUGACCAGCCACACUGGAACUGAGACACGGGCCAGACUCCUACGGGAGGCAGCAGUGGGGAAUAUUGCACAAGGGGCGCAAGCCUGAUGCAGCCAUGCCGCGUGUAUGAAGAAGGCCUUCGGGUUGUAAAGUACUUUCAGCGGGGAGGAAGGCGGUGAAGUUAAUAACUUCACCGAUUGACGUUACCCGCAGAAGAAGCACCGGCUAACUCCGUGCCAGCCGCCGCAGUAA
rnacentral:rRNA from 1 species